CCUACGGGUGGCAGCAGUGGGGAAUAUUGGACAAUGGGCGAAAGCCUGAUCCUGCCAUGCCGCGUGUGUGAAGAAGGCCUUCGGGUUGUAAAGCACUUUCAGUGGGGAAGAAAGCCUUGGGGCUAAUACCCUCGAGGAAGGACAUCACCCACAGAAGAAGCACCGGCUAACUCCGUGCCAGCAGCCGCGGUAAUACGGAGGGUGCGAGCGUUAAUCGGAAUUACUGGGCGUAAAGCGCGCGUAGGCGGUCUGAUAAGCCGGUUGUGAAAGCCCCGGGCUCAACCUGGGAACGGCAUCCGGAACUGUCAGGCUAGAGUGCAGGAGAGGAAGGUAGAAUUCCCGGUGUAGCGGUGAAAUGCGUAGAGAUCGGGAGGAAUACCAGUGGCGAAGGCGGCCUUCUGGACUGACACUGACGCUGAGGUGCGAAAGCGUGGGUAGCAAACAGGAUUAGAUACCCGAGUAGUC
rnacentral:rRNA from 1 species